GGUGAACGCUAGCUACAGGCUUAACACAUGCAAGUCGAGGGGCAGCGGGAUUGAAGCUUGCUUCAAUUGCCGGCGACCGGCGCACGGGUGAGUAACGCGUAUCCAACCUUCCGCUUACUCGGGGAUAGCCUUUCGAAAGAAAGAUUAAUACCCGAUGGUAUCUUAAGCACGCAUGAGAUUAAGAUUAAAGAUUUAUCGGUAAGCGAUGGGGAUGCGUUCCAUUAGGUUGUUGGCGGGGUAACGGCCCACCAAGCCUUCGAUGGAUAGGGGUUCUGAGAGGAAGGUCCCCCACAUUGGAACUGAGACACGGUCCAA
rnacentral:rRNA from 1 species